GAGUUUGAUCAUGGCUCAGGACGAACGCUGGCAGCGUGCUUAACACAUGCAAGUCGAACGAAGAGCGAUGGAAGCUUGCUUCUAUCAAUCUUAGUGGCGAACGGGUGAGUAACGCGUAAUCAACCUGCCCUUCAGAGGGGGACAACAGUUGGAAACGACUGCUAAUACCGCAUACGAUCUAACCUCGGCAUCGAGGAAAGAUGAAAGGUGGCCUCUAUGUAUAAGCUAUCACUGAAGGAGGGGAUUGCGUCUGAUUAGCUAGUUGGAGGGGUAACGGCCCACCAAGGCGAUGAUCAGUAGCCGGUCUGAGAGGAUGAACGGCCACAUUGGGACUGAGACACGGCCCAGACUCCUACGGGAGGCAGCAGUGGGGAAUCUUCCGCAAUGGACGAAAGUCUGACGGAGCAACGCCGCGUGAGUGGUGACGGCCUUCGGGUUGUAAAGCUCUGUUAAUCGGGACGAAAGGCCUUCUUGCGAAUAGUUAGAAGGAUUGACGGUACCGGAAUAGAAAGCCACGGCUAACUACGUGCCAGCAGCCGCGGUAAUACGUAGGUGGCAAGCGUUGUCCGGAAUUAUUGGGCGUAAAGCGCGCGCAGGCGGAUCAGUCAGUCUGUCUUAAAAGUUCGGGGCUUAACCCCGUGAGGGGACGGAAACUGCUGAUCUAGAGUAUCGGAGAGGAAAGUGGAAUUCCUAGUGUAGCGGUGAAAUGCGUAGAUAUUAGGAAGAACACCAGUGGCGAAGGCGACUUUCUGGACGAAAACUGACGCUGAGGCGCGAAAGCCAGGGGAGCGAACGGGAUUAGAUACCCCGGCAGUCCUGGCCGUAAACGAUGGGUACUAGGUGUAGGAGGUAUCGACCCCUUCUGUGCCGGAGUUAACGCAAUAAGUACCCCGCCUGGGGAGUACGACCGCAAGGUUGAAACUCAAAGGAAUUGACGGGGGCCCGCACAAGCGGUGGAGUAUGUGGUUUAAUUCGACGCAACGCGAAGAGCCUUACCAGGUCUUGACAUUGAUGGACAGAACUAGAGAUAGUUCCUCUUCUUCGGAAGCCAGAAAACAGGUGGUGCACGGUUGUCGUCAGCUCGUGUCGUGAGAUGUUGGGUUAAGUCCCGCAACGAGCGCAACCCCUAUCUUAUGUUGCCAGCACUUCGGGUGGGAACUCAUGAGAGACUGCCGCAGACAAUGCGGAGGAAGGCGGGGAUGACGUCAAAUCAUCAUGCCCCUUAUGACCUGGGCUACACACGUACUACAAUGGGAGUUAAUAGACGGAAGCGAGAUCGCGAGAUGGAGCAAACCCGAGAAACACUCUCUCAGUUCGGAUCGUAGGCUGCAACUCGCCUACGUGAAGUCGGAAUCGCUAGUAAUCGCAGGUCAGCAUACUGCGGUGAAUACGUUCCCGGGCCUUGUACACACCGCCCGUC
rnacentral:rRNA from 1 species